GUUGAGGGGAAUGUUGUUUGGUUCGAAAUCAUUCAACAAAUUAAAGUCCAUCUCGAUGAUCAAUGAAUUGAAUGAUUUCGGACCAGGCUUCAUUCCUCCCAAC
rfam:Solanum tuberosum cultivar DM 1-3 516 R44 scf00125_40, whole genome shotgun sequence.